UACGGGGGGAGCAAGCGUUGUUCGGAUUUACUGGGCGUAAAGGGCGCGUAGGCGGUCGUGACAAGUCACUUGUGAAAUCUCCGGGCUUAACUCGGAACGGUCAAGUGAUACUGUCGGACUAGAGUACAGAAGGGGGCAACUGGAAUUCUCGGUGUAGCGGUGAAAUGCGUAGAUAUCGAGAGGAACACCUGCGGCGAAGGCGGGUUGCUGGGCUGAUACUGACGCUGAGACGCGAAAGCGUGGGGAGCAAACAGG
rnacentral:rRNA from 1 species